GAAAAGAGAGAACCAGGGCCCUGUUAUGAUGGGUAGAUGCUCGCCCUGCAGCCUUCCCAAGGUAGCCCUGGAGAGGAUCCUGGAUGCUGAGCUCCCCAAAACUCUUCCCAGAGAUGUUCCAAGCACUCUGGCCACAAGUAUAGAUGUGAACUUACCGGAGACGGUGACCACGAUAUACUGCUGAGCCACAGGGGAUGGGGCAGAAAAGCGGGGGAGAGAGAAACAGAAAAACAAAGAAGAAGAAAAAAAGAAUUAAUCUACCAGCAGAAGAAAACAGCCAGCCCCCAGCUCCCUAGAGAUGUCUUUGAGCUCAUCACUAACUUGAUUAAAUCCCUGGCUACAUA